UAUACCAGUGGCAUGUCAUGAACCAAGGCUUAUGAUUAAUCCAAUUCUGUCUCCCCUUUAACUUAGAUCUAUU
rnacentral:snoRNA from 1 species